AGACUAAUAACACCUAAACAGGCAAGUUGUCUGUAAGUUUGACACAUCAGAGAAACCGUGCCACAGCAUGUCUCAUAUAAGGUCAGACAAUUAUUCAAUCAAGCUUGAUCCUUAAAGUUUGUAUUUUUUUCUCUCUCUUUUGGUUUAGUUAUUUUCCUUUCUUCCCUUGCCAGUACCAUAUGUAGGAUACCUUCAGUCUCCAUGGGUUUUAUGAAAGCUUCUGCUAGGUCUUUAAAUGAUCUAAUUUACUGAGAUUAUUACACCUACAGUUAUUGAGAUCUGAGGGGUAAUGCUGUUCAAAAUUUGUUUUUGGUUUGGUUCUUGAAAUUAUUUUGCUAGUGCAACUACUAGUAGUGUUACCUCUAGAACAGAAGAAGAGGAAGCUUUGAGUGGAGAUGUAGUUGUCUUCCUUGCUGAGACGGAGUAUGGCAGUGCUGCAGUGCAGAGAUACUCAAGCUGGCAUUAAGCUAGUUUCUUUGGGUACUGGAAGCAUGCUGGCUACAGCAGAGUGGAGUCCAGUAUGUUCUGAUUUUCUUUGCCAAAAAGCUUAGCAACCUGGGCAGCAAUGAACCAAUAACAGUAAACAGCAAUAUCUGGAUGGAAUUUUAUGGGGGAGUUUGUUCUGAAAUUUUUCAUGUUCCCUAUACUGCUACCUCUCUUGCUUCCAUAGUCUUUUCUCUCUCUUUUCCAACUUCAAAGAAAAAAAUGAAGCAAACAAGGACAACAGGAUGCAGAAGCUGUGAGCAAUACAUCAUCCAAGCGCAGAUGCGUGACUGCAGCUAUUUCUCACACGAAAGGUACAAAAGAAGGACUCGUUAG
rnacentral:lncRNA from 1 species